rnacentral:pre_miRNA from 1 species
GGGUUUCCUCUGCCUUUUUUUCCAAUGAAAAUAACGAAACCUCUUAUUUCCCAUUGAGGGGGAAAAAGGCGGGAGAAGCCCCG